rnacentral:rRNA from 1 species
UACGGAGGGGGCUAGCGUUGUUCGGAAUUACUGGGCGUAAAGCGCGCGCAGGCGGCUAUCCAAGUCAGUGGUGAAAGCCCGGAGCUCAACUCCGGAACUGCCAUUGAAACUGUUUAGCUUGAGGACGAGAGAGGUGAGUGGAAUUCCCAGUGUAGAGGUGAAAUUCGUAGAUAUUGGGAAGAACACCGGUGGCGAAGGCGACUCACUGGACACGUAUUGACGCUGAGGU